UGGGGAAUCUUGGACAAUGGGGGCAACCCUGAUCCAGCCAUGUCGCGUGAGUGAUGAAGGCCUUAGGGUCGUAAAGCUCUUUCGCCUGUGAAGAUAAUGACGGUAGCAGGUAAAGAAACCCCGGCUAACUCCGUGCCAGCAGCCGCGGUAAUACGGAGGGGGUUAGCGUUGUUCGGAAUUACUGGGCGUAAAGCGCACGUAGGCGGACCAGAAAGUUGGGGGUGAAAUCCCGGGGGCUCAACCCCGGAACUGCCUCCAAAACUAUUGGUCUAGAGUUCGAGAGAGGUGAGUGGAAUUCCAAGUGUAGAGGUGAAAUUCGUAGAUAUUUGGAGGAACACCAGUGGCGAAGGCGGCUCACUGGCUCGAUACUGACGCUGAGGUGCGAAAGUGUGGGGAGCAAAACAGGAUUAGAUACCCUGGGUAGUCCACACCGUAAAACGAUGAAUGCCCAGUCGUCGGGUAGCAUGCUAUUCGGGUGACACACCUAACGGAUUAAAGCAUUCCGGCCUGGGGAGUACGGUCGCAAGAUU
rnacentral:rRNA from 1 species